rnacentral:rRNA from 1 species
CCUACGGGAGGCAGCAGUGAGGAAUAUUGGUCAAUGGGCGAGAGCCUGAACCAGCCAAGUCGCGUGAGGGAGUACUGCCCUAUGGGUUGUAAACCUCUUUUGUCGGGGAGCAAAAGCCGGACGUGUCCGGCUGUGAGAGUACCCGAAGAAAAAGCAUCGGCUAACUCCGUGCCAGCAGCCGCGGUAAUACGGAGGAUGCGAGCGUUAUCCGGAUGUAUUGGGUUUAAAGGGUGCGCAGGCGGAUUUUUAAGUCAGCGGUAAAAUCGUGGGGCUCAACCCCAUCCAGCCGUUGAAACUGGGGAUCUAGAGUGUGCGAGAGGUAUGCGGAAUGCGUGGUGUAGCGGUGAAAUGCAUAGAUAUCACGCAGAACCCCGAUUGCGAAGGCAGCAUACCGGUGCACAACUGACGCUCAGGCACGAAAGCGUGGGUAUCGAACAGGAUUAGAUACCCCUGUAGUC